UUAGUUAGUUGUGGGGUAAAGGCCUACCAAGACAAUGAUGCAUAGCCGAGUUGAAAGACUGAUCGGCCACAUUGGGACUGAGACCCGGCCCAAACUCCUACGGGAGGCUGCAGUAGGGAAUCUUCCACAAUGGGCGAAAGCCUGAUGGAGCAACGCCGCGUGUGUGAUGAAGGCUUUCGGGUCGUAAAGCACUGUUGUAUGGGAAGAAAAGUUAAGGUAGGGAAUGACCUUAGCCUGACGGUACCAUACCAGAAAGGGACGGCUAAAUACGUGCCAGCAGCCGCGGUAAUACGUAUGUCCCGAGCGUUAUCCGGAUUUAUUGGGCGUAAAGCGAGCGCAGACGGUUGGUUAAGUCUGAUGUGAAAGCCCGGAGCUCAACUCCGGAAAGGCAUUGGAAACUGGUUAACUUGAGUGCAGUAGAGGUAAGUGGAACUCCAUGUGUAGCGGUGGAAUGCGUAGAUAUAUGGAAGAACACCAGCGGCGAAGGCGGCUUACUGGACUGUAACUGACGUUGAGGCUCGAAAGUGUGGGUAGCAAACAGGAUUAGAUACCCUGGUAGUCCACACCGUAAACGAUGAACACUAGGUGUUAGGAGGUUUCCGCCUCUUAGUGCCGAAGCUAACGCAUUAAGUGUUCCGCCUGGGGAGUACGACCGCAAGGUUGAAACUCAAAGGAAUUGACGGGGACCCGCACAAGCGGUGGAGCAUGUGGUUUAAUUCGAAGCAACGCGAAGAACCUUACCAGGUCUUGACAUCCUUUGAAGCUUUUAGAAAUAGAAGUGUUCUCUUCGGAGACAAAGUGACAGGUGGUGCAUGGUCGUCGUCAGCUCGUGUCGUGAGAUGUUGGGUUAAGUCCCGCAACGAGCGCAACCCUUAUUGUUAGUUGCCAGCAUUCAGAUGGGCACUCUAGCGAGACUGCCGGUGACAAACCGGAGGAAGGCGGGGACGACGUCAGAUCAUCAUGCCCCUUAUGACCUGGGCUACACACGUGCUACAAUGGCGUAUACAACGAGUUGCCAACCUGCGAAGGUGAGCUAAUCUCUUAAAGUACGUCUCAGUUCGGACUGCAGUCUGCAACUCGACUGCACGAAGUCGGAAUCGCUAGUAAUCGCGGAUCAGCACGCCGCGGUGAAUACGUUCCCGGGUCUUGUACACACCGCCCGUCACACCAUGGAAGUUUGUAAUGCCCAAAGCCGGUGGCCUAACCGUAAGGAGGGAACC
rnacentral:rRNA from 1 species